UCCCGCCUCAGAAUGGGGACGGCGAUUCCUUCUUUGUAAAGUCGUUAGUGCCUGGCACGCGGGGAGUACUCUGGACUUUUAGCUUGCACCCGGCAGGACAGUGGCGGCCUGACCUUGGAGUAGAGGUCUGUGUGACGCCGGCCACCUGCCCGAUCCUUGCCCCAGAGGGGGACUGUGGAGAGGCGGGCCUUGGGCGCUGAGGGGUGGGGUGGGGUGGCGGCCUCUCACCGGACAUGUGGCUUCUGGCCUCACGCUCAGACUGUAGUUGCUGAGUGCACAGCCCUAAGUUCAGAGACUGGGUGUCUGGCAGAGGAGACUGUUUGUACUCAUGAUCUGAAGGACGAGGAAACCUAGGGUUUCAGGAUACGGAGAGACGAUUAUUGUACUGGCCUGGUGAGUAUCGUGACUGUUUUAUGUCCAUCCUGCUCUAAAGAAAGUCAGAAGCUGCUCGAGAGAGGGAUGGGGAGUAUGUGUGUGCUUCAUAGAGUAGCCUGCCUAAAAUCAAGGGCCCCGGGGACCAGAGCAUCUGCCUGCUUGCCUCCUGAGAGGAGGUGGCACAGGCUGUGUUGCCCUUGUGUGUGGGCACCGUUUAAACUGAUGGGGAGAGUGGGCUUUGUGACCCUGGAGACUAAUACUUGAAACCAAAUGUUGACGGUGACCAUACUUCCUCCUGUCUCCGUGCAUCAGUUUGAAGGCCUGGACUAACUACUGAAGGUGCAGGCAGAAGCUCUAGAGGGAAAAUAAGAGCGACUAAAAGAGCUGUCUGGGCACUGGCUUUUAACCUUGCUGGGGACACAGACCCCUCGGAGAGCCCGACGGAGGCUCCAGACACCCUCCCCCAGGAAGGCACAUCCACACCAACUUGUGUGAAGUAUGUCAUAGGGCCCAUCGGCUCCUCAGGCAGCUGGGGACCCCUCAUUUAGGAGCCCCUUGACUGCCGGGAACCCGAAUAAAAUCUGGGUUGAUACAAAAGAUCAGGGAGGGGAGAGAGGACUUUGCAAAGGAUUCUUGGGUUUCUUGUAAACUGGGCUUCCCCAGUGCAUCAUAGUUACUUUUAAAAUGCACUUCUGUGCCUGUUCUCCCCUUCCCUCCCCUUCCCUGAGUAAAGGGAGGGUUGCCUGUUCUGUCAUUGAGUAAAUUUUAGUUCACUGUUCCGUGGGGGCAUUUCCUAUUUGACGUUGUCCUGUACGCUGUUAACAACAGUGGUCCUGGGGCCCCAAUUAAAGAAGCCAGGCUGGGAUCAAGCAACGCCUCUCCGUCCUUGAGUGACGAUGUCUCCUCGAUCUCCGUGCCGCCGUCCUGUGGAGCUGUGUGGCACUUCAUCCGGAGCUCUGUCUGGGUCCCAGGACGGCCUUUCCCUCUCUCCCUGUCCCCAGCUGUCUCCAGCAUGACUGACGGUCACCCUCUCACCCCUGCCACGCCAGGAACAACGCCCGGGCAGCUGUGGGUAAGCAGGUACCUGGGAGGACUGGUAGAUCUCCAGGCGCAUCCUUUUGGCUGCUUUUCUCGUCUCGCUCUCGCAGGCUGCCGCCAGGAUGUUUUCUGCCAUGGCCGAGGUCAGGUGGGGAGGUGUGGGUCUCGUCUGCAGGCAGAACGGGGAUGGGGCCGGUGCUGGGGCUUACCGAGACCCUGCCCUGGAGGUGGCUGGGACAGGGCUGGCGUGUGCGCUCCAGGACCGUGAUCUAUGGAACCGCGUAAUCUUUCUGGGCCUCAGCUUCCCUCCUCUGAGAAUCAGGGAUCGUGGUUCCUGCUCCCAGGGGCAUUGGGAGGGUCAAGGGGAAGUGUCUGGCCAGGGGGGCCACCCAGGAGUCCCCGGGGGGGUGGCACAGAGGGAGCAGGUGGACCGGGGACGAGGGGCUCACCAUCUCCAUGCCGUUCUUCUUCAUGCGCCGGCAGGACUUGAGGUAUGUGCGGAUACGCUUGCGGGCCCGCUCCUGGAACUCGGGAAACUGCCGGCUGCAGGACUCGAUGAUGGCCUGGAUCUUCUCCUUGGGCUGCUUGGAGAUGGGCACCAUGCGGUCCAGGUUCUCGUCCACAAAGAGACGCACAAACAUCUGUGGGAGACACCGGCUGUAGGAAGGGCCGCCGCGGCUGUGACCCCGGUCCCCACCCCGCCCAUCCCUCCCGGCGCUCACAUUGAAGGCCUUGAGGCGCUCAGGGUCCAUGCCCUCAGAGUCGUUCAUCUUAUCGUUGUCCUCGUGGUCAUCGUGGUCGUCGUCGUCGUCGUCCGCCGUGGGGGCCCGGCCCACCGUCAGGUCCUCAGGGCAGCCACUGACCUCAGUCUUGAUGGAAUCGUAGCUCCCGGAGCUGUAAGGGGGCGACUGAGAGAGGGCAGGGGCCGGAGGGUCAGACCAGGCCCGCUCGUGGUCUCCGACAGCCACAGAGAGCUCGGGCACCGGGAUGGUGAGCGCACCUAACCGCCACGCUAGCCACAGUUUCGAGGUCCUGUGUCACUUCCCCUCUCCACUCCCUUCCUCCGCGAAUGGAGAUGCCCAGGGGCAGCAGCAGGCAGGGCAGCAGAGGUCUGGGCCCGUGUGAGUGAGUGCUCUACUUGGCGGCAGCACCCACAGCACGACCCGCCACAUCGUGUGAGGGACGGGCACUCGUGGGAAGGGUUCCCAGCCUCUUCUCUUCUGUCAAGACUGGCUCUGGUUUUGGGGUUUUCCUCCCCGAUCCCCAAGGAGCCGCAGCCCGAGCCGGCAACCGAGCUGUCACACAGGCAGCGAGUAAGUGCCGUCUGUCAGGGAGGAGGAACAGACGGGCUGGGAGAGGGAACCAGCCAAGGCGACAGGUCCAUCAGGCAAAGCGCAUUCCCGAAACUCCUGGGCUGGGGUUCCCCUGUCUGCUGCCACUCCUGGGGAGACACCGUGAGCCCCAACAUGGGGAGGGGGUGUGUGCAGAAAGGGGGAGUGGGAACCAGGCCCAGCUCCCCAGGCAGUCACCGUGUCGUUCAGCAGAGGAGGGACCCAGCUGCCUACUCCCACCCCAUGAACACCUCAGAGAAUAAGCCUCUUUUUGAGGGGGAUCACAGCUCUCGCUGAAGAACAAACGGAUAAAGAUGGACACUGACCGGCGCCUGGUCCUGCAUCGGCUGCGGCCACCAGGACUCUCUGUGACCAUCCCACGGGAGAUGUGACCCACCUCCCAGGGCCCCCGGCCUGGUGCCCAACUCUUGAUCCACACACAGACUUUAACGGGCAGAGACACCUAGGUCCUCCGGCCGGGUCACGACAGACUCGCAGUGGAGAGUCGAAAGACCUUCCAGGCCCUGGGCCAGUCCCAUUCCCAAGCUGCUCCUCGGCCAAGUCCUCUGGCAGGGCCCGGGGAGACAGAAACCGCGAGACACAAGCUGCUGGUGGCACGGGUGCUCCCAUCUCACUUCCUUGGCCCACACACGUGGCCUGAGCUCACGGCGGCAAACUCCCCCUCCGCAGCUCUUUGCUCAGUGCAGGUGGCAGCUAUGUCUGACCUCCGUGGCCUGAGCUCAGGCACACAGUGACAACCGAACACCCGCUCAUCUGUACAGAACCUUCCCGUGAGAAAGGCCAUCAGAGGCAAGCACUGGCACCUGCCCUACGCCCUCUGCAGAAGAGAAAGGCCCAGGGUGGGGAGGGAAGCUGUGUAGGGGUACCCGGCUGGAGCGGAGGGGCGUAGGGCUCUGAUGAGUCACCUCUGGCCCUCCGGCCCCGGCAGGAGAAAACGCUCCUACACAGAGAGAGUUCAAGUGCCCAGUGACGCACCGCACCACUGCAGGAGACCCCCGUGGCCCAGAGGCAGCAGGCGCAAGCGGAGGGGGGUGGGGCAGAAAGCAGGAGGGAGUUCCCGGUGGUGGGGGCACCUGUACUGGCCAGCCUUCCCUGGUGGCCACCCCCGCCUCCCAUCAGCUUGGCCUACCGAGUUUCAAACAUUCACAUCCCUGGGGCUUCAGAGGCCUCAUACUUUUUCCGCACCAUCUGUAAAAUGGGGACAGGCGUGCAGAGUAGCCGAGAAAGGUGGGGACUUGGUGCCGAAAGCGGCCACUUGCUGCUGUAAUUUGCAGCAGACUCUGUGCUGGGGGUUGAGGGAAAUAGGCCACACGUCACCCGCUACCUUCAUUAAGGUGGGGCCCACCCCUCUUUACAGAUGGUGACACAGGCUCAGAGGAAGGAAGGCCUUGCUUGAGGUCACACACUGUGUGAUUUCUUAUUCCAGAGCCUUCCCAGGAAAAUGACAGCAGCCACAGCCUCCUCCCUGACUUGGUGUCACAACUCUGGGGACACACAAUGUCAUUUCAGCUUCGUGCAGCCCUGACGUGUACAGGAAGCAGGGGGCUCACAUCUCAGGCGGGCCCACAGCCCCACACACCUCAGGGGUGGUCUUCACCCCGUACUUGACGCGGCUCCGCAGUCCAUCGGUGCCACAGCCGUCCGAGGGGUAGGAUGGUGUGCCGAGUGCUGCGCCCGGCGGGAGCUUGUCACACAGGUUGAUGGGCUGAUCUUCGGAGGUGGCGGUGAAGUCCAUGGGGGCCACGGCGCCGUUGCCAUUCAUCUCGGGGAAGGCGGGGUCGCCCUGCGUGCUGCUGGACGUGGAUGGGUUCAGGGUGGAGGAGCCAUUGCCGCUGCCACUCUCAGAGGAGGAGUCAUCUGGAACAAGAGGCCUGGGUGUGAGGCUCCACCUCAGCCCCUCCUGCCCCCUAAUGCGCCCUGGGGGAUCGUGGCCACGGCAGCCACAGGGAAUACUUGCCCCGUCUUGUCCUCACAGGCGUCUCUGGGCAAGAGGUGAGCCCUGCUGUCGAAGAGGCUAGCUGUGCCCCUGCCCGAUGGAGGGGCAGGGCCCCUCUGCCUGAAGCAGGCCAUCAGGAGUGGAGCGCCCGUAGUGAUCUCCUGCACUCCACACCCGUGACACCACAUCCAGGCUCAAGGGAGGCCCAGCCUCAAGGGCCUGGGACUGAGUGGCUGCAGCCUCAGGUCUGACCAGCGUGCUGCACGCCAGAGGUGCUUGGACACCCAGAGCUGGCUUGGGGCCUGACCGGCAUCCCCCUCUUCCUCUAACUCGCCACUGCCCUGCCCCUGCACACCCUCUCCCCACAGUGGGUUCUCAGCUUCCUUCAUCUGCCCAAGGAAAAAGGGAUAAUGCCUCCAUUGUGACCUCCCCCCUCCCCCCCGUUACCCACUCUUCCCACAUGUGGGCCCUGCCUAGUCCUGGCAGCUUACACACAGACAGUGCCCCCCGCUCCCCCCAGAGCUGCCUUCUGUGCAAGGUCAGGUGGCCUUGGACAUCCUGAGCCAGGGCUGCAGGCUCAGGGGGCUGCAUUCCUGGCAUCUCAAUAGGCUAUCUCUGCUUUCCAGAGGUGACAACCCAACAAAGCUCUGCCGAGGGCGCCCCCUGCUGCGGAGAGCACAAUAUUGCCUGGGGGACCUGGGAGGACAAACUUCCAACUGAGGGGCUAGACAUUUUCAGAUAAAAUUCCAGGCCCCUCUCCCCAAUCCAGGCCCAGCCUCCUGCUUGAUCAACUGAGACGGCGGAGGCCAAAGCAGGUUGAGCUCCCGGGGUCACGGCCAGGUCAGCUCCAGGCUCUGCUCAAAGCCGCUCCACAGCUCCCUGCUUGCUGAACGACACCCCAGAGUCCCUGGGCCUGCGUCCUUGCAACCUCCAGGACCUCACCACGCGUCCGCUGUCCCCCUCCUCCUCCAUCACAGAUGGGCCUGGUUUUCCUCCAGAAGGAUCUCCAGCGACCAGCGCAGAUGUUGGCGGAAUGAACAAAUUGCCCGGCAGUAUUUACUGAGCACCUACUGCAUGCCCGCACAGUCCCAGGCCGAGAAACAAAGUAACAAUGACAACCAAGGUGCCAGCCCUCCUGGAGGGACAGAUGCUCAUUACCAAACCACAGGAAAGUGGCUGCCCUCCCUCCCUUCAUCACACCCACCUCCACCCCACCCCUUUCCAGCACCAGCCUAUUCUUGUUCCAUAACCUUCCUGCUCUCCAAAGACCCCUGAAGACUAUCCUCCAGACUCCCGCUGGGUGUGUUCUUAGUCCCCUGACUUCUGGAGUCCAGACCCCACCCUCCUGGCCACCGCGGGACCUCACAUCUCCAGGCCUUUGCUUGGGCUCAGGCUCUGCUGUCUGCCUGCCAUGUUGCUUCUAACUCAGAAAAUUUCAGUCUACCUUCGAGGCCUGGCUCAAUGCUUCCUCCUCAGGGCAGGCCUCCUCUUCCACUGUCCCUGGGAAGGAGUUACAGCCCAAUGUCUGUCCUUCCUGGGGAUACUUCGUGCCUCCUUUGCCUGGCCCAGGGUGAGUUCUGACGGCUGCCUAGAAGCCCCCACAUAUGCAGGAGCCUCUUCUGGAGCUGAGGAGCUGGAAGGCAGGGAUGGGCCCCUAUACUGACUGAUCACGUGAACCCCUGUUUGCUCUGGCAGGUGCCCAUUCUUAGCCCACCUUAUAGGUGAGACUUCACACCCUGGCAUCAUUCCUAAUAGGCCAGCUGCUUGACCUUGGAGGGCUUUGGCUUCCUCUUCUGGAAGGAGGGGUUGCUAGGAAGGCACCAUGCUCUGCACACAGUGAGCCAACUGUCCCAAUGCAGGGGUGUCAGGCCCACGGCCUCCUGCGGUGCCACACCCCUGCACAGGCCCACGGGUGGCACCCCAACCACCUGCCUCUCUGACUAGGUUUCGUCGUGGGAGGACGGACCUCCCUUGCCCUACACCUAUGGUGGAAGGGGGAAAGGAGAUGCAUGCCUACUCCCAGCCUCCCACAGCUCAGGAGCCCAGGGUGGCCCCAGGGCUGUGCAUCCUUGCUGCUCGGCCAGACAGCCACAGGCACUGGCUCCGACCGCAACACAGCACCCUCUUCCCAGUACUCCGAGGCUGCUCUCGUCCAGUAAGGGAAGUGGCUGCGCAGGUGGGACCAGGAGGUGCCAGGAGUCCAGACCAGGCAUCCUGAGUUUUUAGAAGAAACCGGAAAUCUGCACCAUUAUGUAAAUAUCCAGAUUUUAAAAUGUUAAUGACUGACUUACAUUGUUUCCAUUUUGAAAGACCUUGCCAAACCAAAUGUGGUCUAUCCAUGCAAUGGAAUAUUGUUCAGCCCUAAAGAGGAAUGAAAUACUGUCACACGCUACAACACGGAUGAACUCCGAGAGCAUUAUGCUGAGUGAAAGAAGCCAGACACAACGGGACAAAUACUGAAUGAGUCCCCUUCCACCCAGUGUGUGGAUUAGACACAUGCAUAGAGACAGAAAACGUAUCAGGGCCUGGAGGAGGCGGGACAGGGAGCUGCUGCUUAAUGGAUAUAGUUUGGGGUGAGGAAAACUAUAUUUUGGAAAUAACGGUGCUGGUUGCACAACGCUGUCAAUGUCCUUAAUGCCGCUGAAUUGUACGCUUAAAAAUGGUUAAAACGUAACAUAAGAUUUUUAUGUUAUACAUAUUUCACCACAAAAGUCCCCCCAAAACCAAAAGAACCCCAAACCCUUGAGCAGGCCAGCGGGCCCCAGUUCACAAGCUCUGUUCCCACCUCCUCCCGCCACAGGCCAAGGCCUUCCCACCUCCGCACCUCGCCCGGGGGCAGGGAAAGCCAGCCACACACACAGCCCACCUCGAGCGUGUGCUCCCCCGUCAUCCUGCCGGGGCCACCCUCAACCCGCGUGCCGACCACCCGCAGCGCCACCCGCUCACGGACUGCCUCCCACUUGGGUCCGUUUUUUGCCAACUGGAGAGGCCGUGGGUUUUAGGCAGAAUGCAGAGGGGCCGUGUCACCUUGAAGAUGCCACUUUACCUCCUUGAGCCUCAGUUUCCUUUCCAAAUGCGUCUCCUGUCAGUAAACCAGGAUGCAUGAGGUGUAGACAAUACUGGCAUAGAGAGUAGGCGCUAAAAAAGAAAAAGCUGGUUCUCUAUGCCCCGCUGUCUUCCUUCAUAACGCACCUGCUUCCUACACACAGGGGCUCCGGAGGGCCCCGCCAGAGCCCGGGUGCGAAAUCUGAGGUGGGCCAGGGAGGAGGAAGGGGAGGCCAGUGCCCGCAGGAUGCUCUUCCCACCCUUGUCCCUUCCCUGCCUGAACACUUCCUGGUGUCAGGCCCAUGGGGGGCACUGGGGACUCAGCAGUGAAAAGAGAGGGUGGUCGCUGUCCUGGCGACUCAUACUCCAGUGAGCAAAAAACCAGACACAGGGCUCCAGAAGAGACUGGGCCCCAAAAAGACAGUCGUGAGCUUUCUGGCCCUUGAGCCCCGACGGCAGAGCCCUAUCUCCAGAACUCCUCCCAAGGAGGGAGGGACACCAGGAGGGAGGGAAGGAGGGAAGGCUUUUUGUAAGAAGCAGCCCAUGGAAGAAGCCUCACGGGAGGAGGCUGAGAAGGCCCUGGGACUAGGGAGAAGGCCCCUGACCCUGGUGGGGGCAAAGGUGCUGCUGGGGAGGGGGGUAAGUGUAUCCAUCCGUCAGCCCCCCCCCCCCCCCGCCCUGCCCCGGCAGCGGCAGCUGCAUGAACGGAGUUCAACCCACUAAGUGGAAGCCAGACUCCCUCCAGAGGGGGCCCCUUGCUGCCACCCACUGCAGCUGCGCCAGCUGCCUACCUUUUCACUUGCUGUUCCCUCUUCCGACACUCUGUCCCCAGCUGCCUCUCCCCCUCAGGGAUUUGCUUCAAGGUCACCUUCUCAGUAAGACCUCCCUGCCCCCGCUCUGACAGGCUGACCCCUUUACCUACUUUUCCCAGACCAUUUUAAUCACCUUCUGACAUACUACGUCUGUGGCCUAUGCCCAGCACCCCUUCCCCACGUAAGCUGCCCCAGCCCAGCAGACCCAGGGUCAGCAGGGCUGUGCUGGGUGGGCCCAGAUCACUCCCGCCUCUCCAGAACCCAUACCCCUUCCUCUGGGGGAGGGCACCCCAAGUCUUCCAGGGGGAAGUACGUGCCCCACGCCUGGCCAGUCGGCACAGCCCAUCCCGGCGGUCAGUGGGCAUGUGACCAAGCUGGACCCGUGAAAGUCAAUCCUGGGGCUCUGGCUGAAAUGUUUGGAAAGAAGUGCUCCCCCAAGCCCCCAGGGCUGCUGAGCCCGUUUGGCAGGGCUGAAUAGCUGUCAGGAAUAAAUCCCCCUUAUAUCCAUCCCUGCCUAAAGCCAAAGAAGAACCUAGACUUUUCGGUUACAGGAGCCAACAGUUUCCUUACUGGGGAAGGGAGCCGGAGUCUCUGAGCGAUCCACAAUCCUCCCUCUGGGAGGAGCCCAGGGACUGGAGCCCAAGCCAGGCUGUCUCCUCACUGUGGCCCACCACAGCCCCACUGGGUCGGUCCCCCUAGCUCAGUCCUGAGGUGGCUGGUACCCGCAGUAAGGGCUGGUGGCAGCCCCCACCCCCACAGCGCCUGGCACCUUUUGGGGAAAGAAGGAACAGAGAGAAGCGUCAGCACCCCAGGCUGAGGCAAGCUGGGUUCCGGUCCGGUCCCAAUUCUUCCCUCCUCCCCACUCCCUCCAAAACAGUGUGAUUCAAAGGAGAUAUAGGCACGUAUUCAAACGCGUGCCCGAAUGAGGCCGGCGGGGUCAGGGCAGGGGGAGCAGGUGCGGGCCUCGCUGUCUCCCGACCUUGGGCACAGCCCGCCUCCUUGGCUCCUCUUAUCUGCAGUCCAGGGAGUUGCCGCUGACGCCCUGUUGGGCUCUGACACUUUAUGACCCUGUGAAAGAACCCAGCUGGCCCCACGGGCAGCAGGGGCCCUGACACACGGGGUGUGGGAGUCGGGCCCUCCAGGGCGCAGGCCUCCGGCCACGGGUCUCCCCGGGCGGACACGUGUUCUGGUCCAACCCAUCCCAGACCUGGCCGGAAGUGACCCUCUUGUGUCUACCCGGUCCUCAUCCGUGCUGCUGUGGCAGGACGGGCAUCCCACCCAAGACCAGGCCGCCGGAGCCUAGAACAACGCCAGUGGGGUGAGACUGCCCCCAGCCUGUGACUGUGUGUGAACAACAGACAGAAGGGCGCCCUGAGUGGCCGCAGGGGAGCCGCUGGGGGGUGCACCCCUUCUGAACGUUUCCACAAAGCCAGGCCUCCCCGGCUCUGGCAAAGGACACCUCCCGAUUUGGGCAGGACGCGGAGCCCACCACCUGUGCCCGGAACGCCUCGGGCAGGGAAGGGCCGAGGUGCCCAUCUAUUUAACGUGGGGCGAUGUGCUGCUAUUCCAAUGGGGGAAUUAGCAAUGAAUGGGGGAAAUUGUUCCUCCCUCUGUCCCGUCUCCAGAAGGAGACAAAAACCCCUUUUACCUCGGCAAACAAUGCCCUUAUGUGGGCGCCAGCGCCCCGCAGCCCGCACAAGCCCGGCUCUGUGCGAGCCGCCAAUCGCUACACCGGGCUCUGGGGCCGCAGCCAGCGGCACCCUCUCCCAGUGGGUGACCCGCACCAGCUCCCAGGGCGGGCUGGGAAAAGGUGGGAAGGUACCCCACCACUGAGACCACGGGCCGGGCCUGUGGCCACGCCACCCGGCAUGCCCAGCGCGGGCUGCCUUCUGCGGCCAGAGGGGCGGCGGCUGAGGCAGCGCCCCCUCCUCCGUGGGCUUCUGUCACAGCGGCGGCCAGGAGGGGGAGAGGAGGGGGCAUCGAUAAUUCACACACAAAAGAGCUGGGCUGGGGGGAGGAGGGGGGUAGAGGGCUGGAGCCGGCAGCCCCACCAUGGGCUGGGAGGAGUAGACACCAGGGCAGGCGCAGGGAGUCUGCAGAGCCGGCCCUUCCUCCUCCUCCGCCCGCGCUCUGAAUUUGGGUGUGCACCUCACCAGGGCCGGUCCCCGCCUGCUCUGACAAAGGCCAGUGGCCUGGGCCAUGUUUACAUGAUGCAUAGUUCCCAGGAGCACCAGGCUCCUGGCAGGCUACCCUGCUCUUCCUCCCGGAAGGAAGGGGGAGGGCCUUGGGGUCAGACGGGGGACACAGAGGAGUUGGACCAGGCGGUCUUGCUGGGAUCCCACCAUCCUGGGUGACAGGGCCACACGGGGUGCCCGCCCCGCGGUCUGGCCGUCAGGCCCCCGGCUGCCCAACGAACCGUCCCUUUGAAGCAUCCCAUUCCACCCUUGUGGUUCCAGGGGCAGGCUGGCCCCUGCUCCCCACCAUGCUCCC